UACGUAGGGUGCGAGCGUUGUCCGGAAUUAUUGGGCGUAAAGAGCUCGUAGGCGGUUUGUCGCGUCUGCCGUGAAAGUCCGGGGCUCAACUCCGGAUCUGCGGUGGGUACGGGCAGACUAGAGUGAUGUAGGGGGAGACUGGAAUUCCUGGUGUAGCGGUGAAAUGCGCAGAUAUCAGGAGGAACACCGAUGGCGAAGGCAGGUCUCUGGGCAUUAACUGACGCUGAGGAGCGAAAGCGUGGGGAGCAAACAGG
rnacentral:rRNA from 1 species